AUCCAGCUGACGAGUCCCAAACAAGAUGAGACUCGCGUCCUGGAU
rnacentral:hammerhead_ribozyme from 1 species